AGCGGUGUAGUCUAAUUGGUAAAACGCAGUCGUUCAUUUGGCUGAAUUGGAGGUUCAAAUCCUUUCUACCGCUA
rnacentral:tRNA from 1 species